CAGCCGCCGCGGUAAUACGAAGGGGGCUAGCGUUGCUCGGAAUCACUGGGCGUAAAGGGUGCGUAGGCGGGUCUUUAAGUCAGGGGUGAAAUCCUGGAGCUCAACUCCAGAACUGCCUUUGAUACUGAAGAUCUUGAGUUCGGGAGAGGUGAGUGGAACUGCGAGUGUAGAGGUGAAAUUCGUAGAUAUUCGCAAGAACACCAGUGGCGAAGGCGGCUCACUGGCCCGAUACUGACGCUGAGGCACGAAAGCGUGGGGAGCAAACAGGAUUAGAUACCCGGGUAGUCCCUGUCUCUUAUAC
rnacentral:rRNA from 1 species